GAUGGGGAAUCCUUGUAUCAAGGGUGCACUCUGCAUGAACAUCGAAAGAGAAUUGGGUUAAUAUUCCCGAACCGGGACAUGGUGGUGGACGACAAUGUUAGGAAAUCUAGAGAUGUCAUCGAGGGCCUGGGAAGAGUUAUCUUUUAUUUUUAAUGGCUUUCCCACCCUAAAAUCGGUUCAACCAGAGAUAGGGUCCAACAUAUGUAAGAGCACCACACAUCUUGUGGUGUUUGGUACCCUCUCAGUGGCCAUUGAAAAUAUGGAGAACCGAGUACCAUCCAUGCCCGAUCGUACUCAUAUCUGCCUCCUUGGAUUUUUCAGUGCUCACUAGGUUAGCAAUCU
rfam:Picea glauca, whole genome shotgun sequence.